rnacentral:lncRNA from 1 species
GCCUGGGUGGAACGCCUCACCAGAACAGCACGUAGCAGGCCCCUGUGGAGGAUUAACACAGUGGCUGAACACCGGGAAGGAACUGGCACUUGGAGUCCGGACAUCUGAAACUUGAUCUAGAGAACACAUGCAAUUUUGUUACAUGGGAAUACUGUGUUGUGCUGAGGUCUGGAGUAUGGAUCCCUUCACCCAGAAUUGACAAGCCGACAUCAGUCUCCAGAGUGAAUCCAAGGAGUGGACCCAAGACAUUUGUGUUCUGUGAUGUGGUGGCAUGUUACCUGUCAUCUCCGAUGCAUAACUCCUAAAGUGCGUCUGGGGCAGUUGUACAGAUUGCAGAGGAUAAUACUCAAGAUGUUCUCCAAGGCCAACUAGUCAUCAGUUUAUUCAUGUUUCUGGGAUUGGAUUCAUGAACUCAUCCUUUGAACUAUUUCAACAAGCUUUUUCAUGUAACUAAUCUGCGGAAGGUAGAAAGGGGAAAACUGUUGGGUGCUAAAAUGACAACUGGUUCAAGGUACAAUGGCGAAUAUUUUUAUUUCUGCAACUUUUCUUAGAGGUUGGAAACUGGACUGGGCAGGAAGAUUCCUUUUUGUAAGAUUAGUCUCCAGUUUUCAUCAAGCAGUUUAGUGGGGUAUUUUAGGCCCAGUUCCCUCUCCACAGUCCCCAAAGGUCUUCUGUUAACUUUAAAUCCGCAAAGAGAGAGAUCUCUGCCAAGCAGCAACUGCAAGAGCAUGUGGGUCAAUGUUACCAGCAGACACUCAAAGCCCAUUCCCUUUACUUCAACACCGCUUUAUAAAUUAUCUUAGAGACGUUGUCAGGUUGGUAUUAGAGGUGAGUGGUCAUGACUUCACGAUUUCUCAUCUUUCUGAAUGCAUAGUGGCUGGGAGUGGUGGCUCAUGCCUGUAAUCCCAGCAGUUUGGGAGGCCGAGGUGGGCAGAUUGUUUGACCACAGGAGUUCGAGACCAGCCGGGGUAACAUGGCAAGACCCCAAUCUCUACCAAAAAAAAAAAAAAAA